rnacentral:rRNA from 1 species
AACGUAGGAGGCGAGCGUUAUCCGGAUUCACUGGGCGUAAAGCGCGUGCAGGCGGUUCGGUAAGUUGGGCGUGAAAUCUCCUGGCUUAACUAGGAGAGGUCGUCCAAUACUACCGGGCUAGAGAGUGGUAGAGGAAGAUGGAAUUCCCGGUGUAGUGGUGAAAUGCGUAGAUAUCGGGAGGAACACCAGUGGCGAAAGCGAUCUUCUGGACCAUUUCUGACGCUCAGACGCGACAGCUAGGGUAGUAAACGGG